rnacentral:rRNA from 1 species
CCUACGGGAGGCAGCAGUGAGGAAUAUUGGUCAAUGGACGAGAGUCUGAACCAGCCAAGUAGCGUGAAGGAUGACUGCCCUAUGGGUUGUAAACUUCUUUUAUAAAGGAAUAAAACGAGGCACGUGUGCCUUUUUGCAUGUACUUUAUGAAUAAGGAUCGGCUAAUUCCGUGCCAGCAGCCGCGGUAAUACGGAGGAUCCGAGCGUUAUCCGGAUUUAUUGGGUUUAAAGGGAGCGUAGAUGGGUUGUUAAGUCAGUUGUGAAAGUUUGCGGCUCAACCGUAAAAUUGCAAUUGAUACUGGCAGUCUUGAGUACAGUUGAGGUAGGCGGAAUUCGUGGGGUAGCGGUGAAAUGCUUAGAUAUCACGAAGAACCCCGAUUGCGAAGGCAGCUUACGAAACUGUGACUGACAUUGAUGCUCGAAGGUGUGGGUAUCAAACAGGAUUAGAUACCCUUGUAGUC